ACCCUCACGCUCAAUUCUCUCAAAUGGAAGGCCACUCUUCUGGGGGGUCUCAGUUGCCAAACUCAUUGGUGGAUGUAAAUAUACUUUUGUUUCAUGUUUUAUGGAAAAAGCAUCUAUCAUGUUGUCUACUAAUUCAUGAGAUUGAGGAUAUAUGCUAUGACUUCUUUCUUUCAUCAAAUCUUGAUUUGUACAUUCUCCCAGCAUUUUAUUCAAACUUGUGAUACGGAAAAGGCAAAGCUCCGAAAGUAUGGGGAUAGCCACAAGAUUUCCACAUAUUAAAAUACGAGAAUAUAACCAUGAAGUGGCACAAGCCUGCAGAAGUUGCUUGCCACAUUCAUCCUUUAAGAACUCUUUGAUAUCAAACGAAUCAACAGAAGUAGUGUUUAGAUUGAAUAAAUUAGAUGUUGCUUCUUCACAUCUUGAUGAAACUAAUUGACUAGGACUAGUAGAGAUGUGACUAGGACUAGUGGAGAUUAGCAUUGGCUGAUACAAAGGUGUCCUAGGGGAUGAAAUCUUCCCAUUUUCAGAUUGCUCAUGUGUUUUUUCUGCAGAUUUCAUCAUGGAGAUCAUAUCAUUGCUCAAUUUUGCCCUCUUCUUAAUAGGAACCAGCUCCAAGUGCAAUUCAUGGCAGUUAUGAACUUUGAGACUAUCAACUUUUCUAUCAUGUACAUCAUUAUCUCCAUUUGCCAGACCAGUUAGAAAUUGACUUUGUAUAGGGUAAAUAAAUACAAACCUUCCGGAAUCAGGACAUCCCAUUGUGUAAUAAAGGUUUGAAGACAACCGCACUUCAUCCCUCAAAGCCUUAUUGGAAGGAAAAACCAUAGCCAAAGCAAAGUAGUUUCCUAACUCAUUAGCUGUUUGAUCCACAGAUUCAAAC
rnacentral:misc_RNA from 1 species